ACACCUGCUGAUCAUAUUUGCCAUGCAUGCUGGCAACUUGCUUAUCAUGCAUCUACUGAAAAUAUGCCCAGCAGCAGCAGCGGUUGGCCAUCAUAAUAUCUGUGUUGUAUCAUGUGGAUUAUCCAUAGUAAGAACAAAUCAAUGCAGAAUUUUAAUUGAAGGGGCAAAUGAAGACUUCUAUAGUAUCUUCUUGGAUUCAAGCACGAAAGCUUUGGUCUCAAGAUGAAGAACCAGAAUAGUCCAAGUAAUUGAGGACUUUCAACCUGAAUAUCUGGAUUCAGCUUUAAUGUGUACUGUAUGUGGCCAGUCUGGACACCACAACUUCAGACUUAGAGUGGAAUCCUGAAAACAUUACUCGUUUGCUGGAGCAACAAGAGAUGUCAUCUAUGAAUGAAGUUUCUGGAGUUUGUUGAAACCAAGCUCGAGACAUAAAGUCACAUAUUCCAGAAGCUGAUGAAAGAUCCCAACUAAAUAUUGUGUUGUUCAAUAUAAGAAGAGCAGCUGAAACACCAGGACAUUGCGUUUUUCAAGAAUGCAUGAAUCCUGAACAAAAUGUUGUGCCUCGAGUUGCUUAUGCCUGUGUUGUGUUGUUGUGCUUCAAGCUAAAAUAAAGUCCUGCCAUUGUUCUGGAAAAACUUAUUUUGUAUUUAUUGUAACUGAAAGAAACAUGA